CUCUGAUAAAUAAAAUGAAGUACUUCGAUUGCAUUUCUGUGGUGUUCCUGUAGGUGACCAUGAUGCAGCCAGACUGAAGCAGCACGUUGUGAAGGUGGGCGCCAUCAUCUUGUCUUUGCAGUGCUGAUUCUGAAGAGAACGUCUUCACGUAGGACUCAAAGGAAAUCAAUGCCCAAAGGAAACAGCAGUCCAGACUCUGAUUCCAGCUCCGAAGAUGCUCUCAGAUUCAGAUCCAUCAGCAACCCCUGAGAACAUGGAGGACUCGUCUCUUGAGCGUUUCCUGUCCUCUCUCGACGGUGUUCUUCUCUUCAGUUAUUAACUCUUGAAAUCAGUAGCACAACAUGCCAGACUGUUUGACAAGUCUGUGAUUGAAUAAAUGGAAAUGGAAUCUCAUGCGUAUCUUGCUAUGCUUAUUGGCUUUAAAUGUUUAAUAUUAAAUAAGUUUGAAGGCCAUUUAUCUCAGACGAGACCGGCUGUGACAAGCUGAGCUUGUCUGUUAGCUUUGCUGUUGUCUUAGCUGUUGUUGGUCAAGAAGAAAUGAAUGUCAGUUCAAGGCCUUUUCAAAUGUGAGCUAUAAACUUAACUGUUAAAUUA